GCCCAACCGUAAACUUUAAAUUACAUCUAUAUCGCCCGGGAACUACGAGCAAAGCUUAAAACCCAAAGGACUUGACGGUACCCCACAUCCACCUAGAGGAGCCUGUCCUACAAUCGAUAACCCCCGCUUAACCUCACCAUUUUUAGCCUAUCAGCCUGUAUACCUCCGUCGUCAGCUUACCACGUGAGCGACCCUUAGUGAGCUUGAUGCCCAUACGCCAACACGUCAGGUCAAGGUGCAGCAGAUAAAAUGGGAAGAGAUGGGCUACACUCUCUACUCUAGAAAACACGGAAGAUUAUUUAUGAAACCUAAUCAGAAGGCGGAUUUAGUAGUAAAAAGAGACAAUAGUGCUCUUUUUAACAUGGCACUGGGGUGUGUACACACCGCCCGUCACCCUCUUCAAGGCUAGUAUAAAGUCCCUGACACACUUAAGCAUUAUAGAAGAGGCAAGUCGUAACAUGGUAAGUAUACCGGAAGGUGUGCUUGGAAA
rnacentral:rRNA from 1 species